CCAUGAGGCGCCCCGCCAAGGUGUGAGCUUGUCUCAUAUGUUGGAUAAACGCGCCAAAGUUUUUAAUUAGACAACCCGAAAGUGAAAGGCUAAGGUGCUGCCAACGUGUUGGAAAUGAAAUAUUUCAGUGCCCCUGCUUGCAAUUGGUAUUUAGGCGCUGUCAAAUAAUUUUCAGUCACGAGUGUAAACCUUUAAGACAUUGCUGCAAGUAUUCGGAUUAGUUCUUAAAUAUAAACUAAGCGGGAAAUAUUUGACUUUGCCCGGGCCAAGUUUUUGGUAUAGCCGAGGACCACAAAAAUAUAUAACUCAUAUAACAGACUUCGCCCAAUUCGCUAUCACAGUCUAUUAACUGACAAAUAUUGCGCAGAAGAUUCUCUUCUAUAAAUUGCAUAGCACUGUCAACUUGCGUUGAUUGACAAACUGUGCUGCCAACUGCAUAGCGAAAAAGUAAAAUCAAGAUAAAUUUGACAUCAGCUACAUAAAAAGUCAAAGAAAAAUCACUUAAAAUCUUUUGCUUGAGGCAACAAAAGCACAGCACGAAACCAUCAACAAGCUGGCCAGCCCAAGAUGCCCAACCCGUCCACCUGCCCACCUGCCCACCUGGUUACCCGCCACACCCACAUCAUCAGGAGUAGCAGAAGCAGAAGCAGCAGCCGAUGCAGUCAAGUCUAACAAAUGGCUGGGAGCUGGGUACGUUUCGCAGCUAUCUAAAGCUGUUGAUAAAGCGCACAUUAAAAUAUAUACGUAUCUAAGUAUCUCAAAGAUACGAUGGCAAGGCGUGCGCACAGGUGAGGAGCGCGUCCUUCGGGUAUAACUGGGGUCCGGGUGUGCCGCCGGGACAGGCGCAUUCAAAUGAAAACCGUGAGAAUCAAAGCAGCAGCCAAGUGGAGCGUAAAGCUUUCAGUGCCCGGAUUGGAGGAGUAUAGUGUCUGUCCAAAAACCUAAAACUGUCCGAAGCCCUCAUUCCCUCCGUUAGCUCACAGAUUGUCCCUUACCGCUCACCGACCCAUCCCAGCAUCGAGUUGUUAAGUUUCACAUUUUUUGCCUUUACGUUUCAUUUAUUACGCAGAGGUUUUUCCAUUUCUGUUUUUAUUUUUUUGUAUUUUUUCGUAAAUUAAGAAUUUCCCUGCAGCUUUUUUAGAGCUUCUCAAUGACCGCCCCGCCGCGCCCCGCCUCGCCCCACAUCCCUUAUCCCUGCCAGGCUGAGUCGCAGUCUCUUAACUGACUGUUGGCGUUAUAAAAGCCCAACGCUUCAUUGCACAAACAUAGUGGCAAGAGCCGACUCUGUCAUUUCUAAAGGCCUCUCUGUUGUCUUGUUUGUCCCGGAGGUUGAAGUGGGAUGAGGGAUGGGGAUGGGGAUGGCGAUGGCGAUGGGUAUGUGGAUGUGGAUGCGGUAACCGCUCUCCACUUAACAGAGCACACAACUUCGGCUUGCGGUCGAAGCUCAACGCUCGACACUCAAAAAUUUGCUUUGGCCUCAAAGAAGCUGCUCGGUGCGAUAUCAUUUCUGCACACGUGAGCAGAACUUGUGGCACAGGAGGUUGCGGUGCGUGUUACUUUCAGCAAGUCUCAAAAUGAAAUUAAUUAAAACAAUAUAAACAAUAGAGCAAAGACAUGCGUACAUCACAUGGGCUGCACAGUGAACUGGCGCUGAAAGGUUGCCAUGGAAAUUCUGAUAACUAAAGCAAAUAUUGCUCGUAAAUGUUUUGUGGCGAUUCUUAAAAAUAAAAAAAAUUAGUUGAAUUGUGCAUGUAUCUA